CGGGUACUAUCUACUCCAACAUAGAAAGUGGGAAAAAAUGUGUGCCACAACCUUCCCAAUUAGUUCAGGCACUCUCUACUCCUUAAUUCUGAACCAUUCAGUCCAAAUGGGCAUCCACCUUACACUUAGGAUUCCAUAUUGUCCAAAGCAACCAUGACGAUAUUAUCUUUUGAACUCUACUUCUAUUAGCAGCAGCAAAAGUAAUAGCCUAAUGUGUGCAACAAAGUCUUCAGGUUAGUUCAGGCACUAUCUACUCCAGCAUAGAAAGUGGGAAAAAAUGUGUGCCACAACCUUCCCAAUUAGUUCAAGCACUGUCUACUCCUUAAUUCUGAACCAUUCAGUCCAAACGGGCAUCCACCUUACACUUAGGAUUCCAUAUUUUCCAAAGCAACCAUGACGAUAUUAUCUUUUGAACUCUACUUCUAUUAGCAGCAGCAAAAGUAAUAGCCUAAUGUGUGCAACAAAGUCUUCAGGUUAGUUCAGGCACUAUCUACUCCAGCAUAGAAAGUGGGAAAAAAUGUGUGCCACAACCUUCCCAAUUAGUUCAAGCACUGUCUACUCCUUAAUUCUGAACCAUUCAGUCCAAACGGGCAUCCACCUUACACUUAGGAUUCCAUAUUUUCCAAAGCAACCAUGACGAUAUUAUCUUUUGAACUCUACUUCUAUUAGCAGCAGCAAAAGUAAUAGCCUAAUGUGUGCAACAAAGUCUUCCGGUUAGUUCAGGCACUAUCUACUCCAGCAUAGAAAGUGGGAAAAAAUGUGUGCCACAACCUUCCCAAUUAGUUCAAGCACUGUCUACUCCUUAAUUCUGAACCAUUCAGUCUAAACGGGCAUCCACCUUACACUUAGGAUUCCAUAUUUUCCAAAGCAACCAUGACGAUAUUAUCUUUUGAACUCUACUUCUAUUAGCAGCAGCAAAAGUAAUAGCCUAAUGUGUGCAACAAAGUCUUCGGG